rnacentral:rRNA from 1 species
UACGUAGGGGGCUAGCGUUGUCCGGAAUCAUUGGGCGUACAGAGCGUGUAGGCGGUCCGGUAAGUCCGCUGUGAAAGUCGGGGGCUCAACCCUCGAAUGCCGGUGGAUACUGUCGGGCUAGAGUGCGGAAGAGGCGAGUGGAAUUCCUGGUGUAGCGGUGAAAUGCGCAGAUAUCAGGAGGAACACCUAUUGCGAAGGCAGCUCGCUGGGACGUAACUGACGCUGAGACGCGAAAGCGUGGGGAGCAAACAGG